CCUACGGGAGGCAGCAGUAGGGAAUAUUGCUCAAUGGGGGAAACCCUGAAGCAGCAACGCCGCGUGGAGGAUGACGGUUUUCGGAUUGUUAAACCCUUUUGUCAGGGGAGCUAAUGACGGUAUCUAACGCAUAAGCACCGGCUCACUCCGGGCCAGCAGCCGCGGUAAUCCGGCGGGUGCAAGCGGUACUCGGCAUUACUGGGCGGAAAGGGCGCGUAGGGGGGAUAGCAAGUCAGGUGUGAAAUCCGAGGGGUGAACCAUAGAACUGCAUUUGAAACUGGGAGUCUUGAGUUGAAGAGAGGGAGGUGGAAUGCGUGGUGUAGGGGUGAAAUGCGUAGAGAUCACGAGGAACACUGAUUGCGAAGGCGGCCUGCUGGA
rnacentral:rRNA from 1 species